rnacentral:rRNA from 1 species
AUUGAACGCUGGCGGCAGGCCUAACACAUGCAAGUCGAGCGGAUGAAGGGAGCUUGCUCCUGGAUUCAGCGGCGGACGGGUGAGUAAUGCCUAGGAAUCUGCCUGGUAGUGGGGGAUAACGUCCGGAAUCGGGCGCUAAUACCGCAUACGUCCUGAGGGAGAAAGUGGGGGAUCUUCGGACCUCACGCUAUCAGAUGAGCCUAGGUCGGAUUAGCUAGUUGGUGGGGUAAAGGCCUACCAAGGCGACGAUCCGUAACUGGUCUGAGAGGAUGAUCAGUCACACUGGAACUGAGACACGGUCCAGACUUCUACGGGAGGCAGCAGUGGGGAAUAUUGGACAAUGGGCGAAAGCCUGAUCCAGCCAUGCCGCGUGUGUGAAGAAGGUCUUCGGAUUGUAAAGCACUUUAAGUUGGGAGGAAGGGCAGUAAGUUAAUACCUUGCUGUUUUGACGUUACCAACAGAAUAAGCACCGGCUAACUUCGUG